ACCAGACUAAUGAAUCUAACAAGCAUCUCUGGCUUUUGUUUAGGAAUUCAGCAAAACAAUUAUUUGCUGAGGCUUGCUAAUAUCAACAAACUGGUUACAAAUGAUUGUGUUCCUGGUGAACGGUGAGAAUCCGAAUAGGUUGUCAGCAUAUUUGUGUUUGAAUCUGCCAGAGAAGAUUAUGACUGAAUCUUGCUGUUCACCAUGCACACAAUCAUUUAUCAACUCAUUCUGUGUUUUUACAGUAUUUUUUGUUUCUAACAGUGACACCAAAUGCCAUCUGAAUGGACUGUAAGUCCUUUGUAAGUUGUCUUGUCAAAGGACACAGCCCAGUGCUGAUGACAAGAUAGAAACUGCUGGUCUCUCAGGCGCAUGGCCAUACUGUGGCCUUUUUGUGCAGUGAGCAACUCAGCACUAAAAUCUCAAAUUUCAGAGCAACUCGGAAUAUUUGGGAAGACUAGAAACAAGUAAUGAUGGGACUGCUAGCAUAUUCGAUAAAAUAAAUCACUGAUAUUCUAAUUAAUUAAAAUUAUAUCCCAGUGACAAGAACACUAUCUAAGCCAGUGGAUCUCAGACUUUUGCAACUUAGAACUCCUUUUCAAAGAAUGGAAUUUUACAAACACCCAUUUCUCAUACUUUGCUCCCCACCAAAAUAAAAAUAAUAAUUAAAAAGAAACAUUUGCUAAUGUUGCGCAAAGGCUCAUUAGUCAUAUUUUCUUUUAGUAUUCCAUCCAAAAUGUGACUUAUUUCAGGGACAUUUAAAAAAUUGUAAGGACUUUCAAUGAGAUUACAGAGGAUCUCAUCCCAUCAUCAGUUACGUUUCUGUUCCCUGAUAACACACUGCCUUGUUCCUAUUUUAAUUCCAGUAAACAUUUUUUUUUUUAAGAUAUGAGCAUUGUACUUUCUUUCAGCCAGAUCUCCUCCUUCCUCUUGCCAACAAUAUUUCCCCCCCUAGAUAUGUUUUCACAGAAUAUUGGAAAUGAAUGACACUGCCUCUAUGAUGGUGACACUCAGUUACAACUAUCAUGCGAUGGGAAGACAGAGUGACACACACACACACACACACGUGUGUACACAUUCUUCUUUCAGUUUCUAUUAAAUCCACUUACAAGGUUUUGGUUGACCUGGGGCUAUAGUAGAAGAUACUUGCCCAAAGUCCCAUGCAAUGGGAUUGAACCUGAAGCUAUGUAGUUGGGAGGCAAUCUUCUUAAUCGCACAACCACUGCACCCAAUAUUGUUUAUAGAGUGAUAACCUGAGUCAGAAGACCACCACCAGCCAAAGUGUAAUCCAUCUCAAACAUAAAUUCAAAAAUAAGCAAAGAUAAACUAAAACAUGUCCAACACAUUCUGAGGGUUUCUCACAGACCAAAUCCCAAACAAAAAGCUAAUCUUUCAAUGUUUCUAAACAUGUUUCUCACUUAAAUGUCCGACAAUUUCUCAUUUAUAUGGAAUUGGUCAAAAGCUAUUUCUUGAUUAAUAGAAAAUAGAAAGACCCUUUUUGCUUUAGUUGUUGCUUAAUCCUAUGUCAGCCGUAAUUAAGCGGAUCUAUGAACAGAGACAUUCUAGCCAUGACCAUCCUUUCUUUUUGUACAUCUACAUCGAUGUACAUUGUCAAGUUUAUCCUAUUUUAUUUAAGGUGUUACUAUGUGCUUUGAGAAUGAUUUGGCUGCUAUUUCUAACAGACUGCAUAGAGGCCCUUUUGUUUAUUCAUUGAAAAGAAAAUAUAAUUACAAAGUUUAUCAACAUUUUUAAAUGUGUUCUACUUAUACAUUACUAAAUUGCAUUAUAAACAUAUUUAUAUUUUGUGCUCCUCUCUCUGUUUUUCAACAUUUUUUUCAGCUCAAGUUAAUUUUUGUUUUCAAAUUUUAAUCAAAAAGGCACAAGAGCUAAUAUUGUCUUUGCAGAGCAGUUUUUUUUUAUUACAGCUCUUGAAACAUUUCGAUAUCAAACUUUGUUUAAAUAUAAAUUCAUCAAAGUUCCAUUUAAUGCAUCAUUAUAAAAAACAACAUCGCCUUUAUAUUUUGCAAUCUUUGAAUCUACAAAAAUAAAUAAAAUUAAAUUCAAUUAAUCUUCAAAAGAUUCUGUCUGGAAAAUUACAUUGUUGUUAAUCUUAUGAACAUGUUAAUAUUGUCUUUGUGUGUUUAUAUUACAAACACUGAGCAUGUUUCUCUCUUAAAUCUUUAAAUGAGUUGUAACUGUUAAUAAGAUUAUCAUUUUUCAGAUUAACUUCAUCUUUGGAGAUGAAAUUUUUUUCCAAUAUUUACAUUCUAUAUUAAUGCCUGUCUUGUGAUGUUCGAGUGUUGGACAAAAUACCCGGCAUUUCUCUAUUUACAGUCCUUUACAUUAUGAGUUUAAACACUAUCAAGAUCAAGCAAAUAAAACAGCAGUCACAAACUCCUAUCAGUAUUUAUCAAUUGUACUCCACACCAAAAUCUGACACUUUGUGCCUUCGAUACAAAUGAAAUGGGGAGGUGCAAGGCUUGGCGGUCAGUGUUCUUGGUUCACAAUCAUAAGGCUCUUUAGGUUAAACAUGUCUGUGGAGUGCUCAGUCACUUGUGCCUUAAUUUCAUGAGCAGACUGUCACCCUUGAUCGAAUCAACUGGAAUGUUUGUCUUCGUAACCGACAGAGUGCCCAGCCACAAGUCAAUACUUAAAUCCAAAUUACAUUUUUAUAGGUUUGCAUCCCAAUUGUCAUCAGUUGUCUCAUUACUAGAUAUGUCCCCAGCAGCACCAGACUAGAGAGAAAACUAGAUUAAUAAGCAUCAUCAUCAUCAUCAUCAUGUGUAAAUGGUUGAGUAUAGAUGACUACUACUACACUUAGUUUAGAAAUAAAGGUUUCUAGUUUGAAGCCUGUUUGGUAAAACUGUACAUAUCAAUGAAUAUGGCACCUGAUAAUGAUUGGAGAUCAAACGAUUGAAAUGCAAUGUAGAUAUGUUUUUUUUAAAUGUUUCAUCUCUGAACAUGGGGUGUAAUAAUUGGAGAAAUUAUAAUCAUUUUUUUCUUUUUAAUAUUUUUUCAGGACCACGAAAUGAAAAAAACCAUCAGAAAACUUCAAGUUCAGAAAGAUCUACGACCAUCUCCAGGAAAUGGUGGAUAGUGUUUGGAUUUAUGUCAUUAUUAUAUCAAAAUGGUGUCACAUUUUUAGAACCAUAACUAAGUACAUUGACUAGUUUUUGAAAAUAUUUAACUUUCAGACUAGAAGAAUUGAAGACAGAAUCAGACUGACAUAUCAGGCGAUCUGCAAAUAUGAAUAUCAGGAAGAAUAAGAACUGAAAUGAUGAAAGGGAUUCAGCAAAUUUCAUUUCCUCAGUUUUUUUUUUUUUUUUUUUGUUACUAAAUAUAAAAAGAAUUAAAUUCUAAUUAUAAACACUAGAAAUUAACUAUUUAUUAACAUUCUUGGGAAAAAAGGUUAAUAACUAACAAACCAAUGCAUCAUGGAUUCUUCACAAUGAUUAUAAGCAGAGAAUAAAGCAUCAUUGAACAUCAGUGAUGAGAACUAAAUGAUCUUCAGAUGCUGAAAUGAGAAGCAUUUCGACAGAAAGAUUGUAGUCAAUGGAAUAAGAAACAACAGAUUCUUUUGGGCAGGAGUUUAGUUGAAAUGAAGAUCAAGAAGGAAUUGAAACCCCAAUGAAAAAAACAAAAUGAAUGAGAAUGUUUUGUAAAAAAAAAAUAAAAUAAAAGGAAACAACUGGUAAGAGAGAGAGAAAAAGAUUUUUGAAAUCACGAAAACUGAAGAAGAAUUGAUCAAAUGAGAGAAACCAGUAACAUCCUAUAAAUAUUACUUCAUCUGUUUUCACGACUGAUGGAAUCACAGAUUGAGAUACAGUAGCAGAAUUCAGAAAUAUGAAUUUUUUGUUUAGAUAACUCUGCUACAUAUUUCCCCAUAAUGGUGGCCAAUAUCUUUUUUCUUCUUGUUAUUCAGCAGGACUAUUUUCAAAAGAAAAAAAAAUUAAAAAAAGAAUUUUUUGAAAACAACUUAUUUGGAGAAAAAAAAAUUAACAAAAAAAAAUUACCAAAAAAAAAGGUAAAAAAAAUCCAACUCACAAGAACCAACAGGGUCUGUUGGUGUCUGGUAAUGUGUGUUUAUAUCUGUAUGUAUGGUUAUAGUUAGUUAAAUCUGCAAGUGCAUGGGUGUACAUAUGCGUGAGUGUACGUCUGAGUGGUGGUAUGCAUGAGUGUGUGUGUGUGUGUGUGUGUGUGUGCACAUACAGGUGUUUGUACAUAUGUGAAAUUUAUUCAGAUGAUAGCAUACGACCAGUGGGUUUCUCCUUCUCCUCCUCCUUGUACUCCUACUCCUACUUCCUGUUUAUAGUUUUUUUCUUAACUUUUGGUUAAAUGCAAAUGACUGACCACCAACACAUAAAUAUCAAUGUAUGUCUAUAUGUCUGUCUAUCCAUCUAUCCACUUAUCCACAUAGCUCUCUAUCUACCUAACAACUCUCAAUAUUUAUAUCUACACAUGCAAACAGACAGACACACUCGCCUACAUACACACACACACACACACACACACACACACACACUCUCGCACUCUUGUGAUAUUUCUCAUUUGAAACUGGUUAUUAUUUUAGUUGUUUCUGUUAUAGAUUUUUUUGUUGUAUUUUUUUAUGGUGGUGGUGGGGGCAAGAGUGAAAAAAAGACGAAGAAGAAGAAGAAGAAGAAGUAAAUUUAUCUUGAAUUCAUUUCAGAAUGAAAGAACACCUUUACAAAAAAAAAAGCAUACAUGCCAACUUUAUGUGUGUAUGUACACACAGACAGACACCGUGCAUGCAUUAACUGAAGGUAUAUAUACGUUUAGAUAACAUACAAAACAUUAAAAAUACAAUAAUUUCAUCAGACACAUUUUUAUAUAUCCAUAUAUAAAGCUCUGAACAUGUAUACGUAUGCAUGUUUUUAAGUAGGUGUGUGUAUAUAUAUAUAUAUACACACACACACACACACGUGUGUUUAUACAUGCAUAAAUGUCAUGUAUAUAAUAUAUAUACAUAUAUUUACAUGCACAUAAUCAUAUAUACAUACACAAACAUACAAAUAUGUAUGUAUAUGCAUAGAUAUAUGUAUACAUAUAGGUAUGUUUGUGUGUAGAUAUAUGCAUAUGUGUGUUUGUGCACAUAUAUAUGCACUUAUACAUUUACAUACCUAUAUAUAUAUACACACACACACAUACACAUAUAUAUAUGUGCAGUGGCAUCAAUUAGUUUAAAGCCAAGAGUAUAGUGACAGAUGAUAAAAUUUUAUUUCUGUUUAUUUAAUCAAUUUCCAGUCUAACUAUGAAUUUUUAUUGAAUACUUAACCUUUUAAAUAGCAUUAGUUUUUACAUGAAACUUAAAUCUGCUCAAAGAAAUUAUUUAUAUUAUGAAUAAUGCCCCUGAGAGUAAAUGUCAUUUAAUUUAAGAAAUUUUAAUGCUUUCGAUUUUUCUUUUCUUCUUUAUCGACAAAAUGUAAUAUAGGCAUUUUAUAAAGAAAGUUGUGUAACACUAAUGCUUGGUGAUGUACCUGAAAGUUCCCAAAACAGAAAUACAUCUAUGAAGUAUUUUGGAUGUAUAGGAAAUUUCAGCCCAUAUUUUCACUCUAGAAUCAUACAAUUCACUUCAAUUUCAUGGAUUUUCAUUGUUCCCUACUCAUGUCAACACAUUUCCAUGGGUUUUCAUUUGAAUUCAGGUUCAAAUUUGUGCCAACCACUACAGUACUUGGGUUUUCUUUCUUGAUUCGUCCUGUAGUCCUGUUUUGGGUUGUCAGCUUGCUGCAAAAUUCACAAUUGACCCAAAUGGUUCUUGGGAUAUGGAAUCAUUGUCUUCUUGAGGAUUUCCAGAUAGGUUAUACUGGUCAUGGCACCGUUAAUUUGAUGUAAGGGACUGACCCCUUUUCUAGGUAUGUGGCCCCACUACCAUGGUUGACUUUCAGAUUUAUGCACUGAUGGUGUAAGUCUUCUGUUGUACACUUGACCGUCAAAGAAACUGAAUCUUGACUCAUACAAUCAGAUGCAUGACCAACUUUGUGACAAUUCUUAUGCUUCCAAGCAGACUCAAUGCUGGCAUUCUCUCUUUUUUUCUAUGCAACAUUUCCUCUCAUCCAAAGCUCAUUUUCCUGGUCUUUACCGACUAAAAGUCUGUCAGUCCAUCCUUGCAGUAGAUUUUUUGUUUUUAAAUAAUGUUUUUGUCUGCAGUGGAUCUGAUCAAAAACCAGUUUGGAUCCUCUUCAAUUCCAUUGAAGAUAUCUUUAACAGAGUCUUACUGAGCAUCCAACUUCAAGCAGCUGUUGCGCAAGAAAUCCUUUUCAGUAUAUCAAGUAGGACAAUAAUUUUACAUGUCUCAGAUAAGAGUAAUAACAAUGAGCUUUUGUAUACAGGGUUCAAAUCUGCUUUUAAGAAAAGGGUAAAAGAGGGGACAGAAUGCAGCAGAAUGUUAAGUGAACAAAGACAGCAAUGAAAGCCAAAACUGUACAUGAGGUAAAACACACAAAAAAAUCCCAGACAAGUGAACAGAAAAAGCACAAUAAAAAGGAAUUAUUUGUCCCAACUGUUGGCAAAUUUCAGAAAACAUGCAAUUUUUUAAGGAUGCGUAAUGGUUUUAACAACCAAUGCAAGUAGUUUAUUCCACGCUUCAACAGUUCUGGGUGGGAUGUUCAGCUUUUUUUCCAUUUUAUACAUCACAACAGACCUUAAAAUGAUAUCACCGAGUAGUUAUGAAUUGUUUGUCUUAUUUAGAUGAUAAUAUUGAAUAUUAAGGUUAAAAUACAUUUUCUAAAAUGAUCUUAAAUUUAAUGAAGCUCAUUCUUAUGGUUUUAUUAAUGCCAUCAAUGAUUAGAUUAUGUGAGGGGAAAUUUUCAUGUCUAAAUUUACAUCAUUUAAAAGAGUGAAAAAAAAAAAACUUUCCCUUUUCAUAUACAACAGUAUCAACUAGAAAUGAUUAAAUAAGCAGAAAUAAUAAC
rnacentral:lncRNA from 1 species